AGGCUCCUCAUCUCGAUGGGCCCCGUCCGCAUGCGGACGGAUCAAAAGGGAAGCCGGUGAGAAUCCGGCGCAGGGCCGCUGCUGUAUUCGGCGAGAGACCCGGCCACAUAAGCCACUGCGACGCUCGCGUUGCGGGAAGGCCGCCCGGGGAUCGAUCGUAGCCGUAAGCCAGAAGACCUGCCCGUCGAGCAUGCCAAGGG
rnacentral:ncRNA from 20 species